rnacentral:lncRNA from 1 species
UGUAACUACACCUGCUGCAGGCUCACAGGAGAAGGAGGCAGCUCAGGAGAUAACACUGAUGGAUUAGUGGAAUGAGAAACUUGUUCCAAAGGCAUCUUUGCUACUGAUCCUGUUUGUCUCACUUGAAUGAAAAGGAGGGAUUUCUGCAUCUACACCAGGAAUCCUGGCAGGUCCACAGGAUUUGAAGAUUAAUAGGUUGGACAAUACCUUUUCCAUGGUUGCCUGGAAACCCUUAGCUCUGCCCUUCUGCAUGCAGAAUGCAUUUUUACCAAGACCUGGCUCCUGUGGUGAAAGCUUUAUGAACUGUAGCUAUCCACAGAAAUUUAUAUGUAAAUUGCUAAUUACAGAAACGUCCUAUAUUUCAGAAGCUUGGCCUUUCAAUUUAAGUAUGGUGCACCUUUUUGUAGCAAACCCAGCAUUUAGCCUGAGGACUGUUUGGACUGCAGAACAGACAUCUUAUGGCAUAUCUGCUCACAAGGAGCUGGUGAAGGAGAAGUCUGCUGCUCCAUGGGAUGGUGCAGAAGAAUCAAGUCCAACAAAUAAUCAUUUGGGACUUCUCCUGCACUUAACACCCAUACACAGAGAAGAAGUGAGGAAUCUGGAAACUCCCCAUGAUGACUUUCCUCAUCAUCUCACCACGGGAGUGGGGCUGGAGCCAGCUGUAAUCCCAGAGACCUGUGUGUAUUUUUCUCCACCUAGCAGAGUUUGGGCAAAUCCUCCAGGAACCAGAAAUAAAUGAUUUGGAGGAAUUCCUAAGGAGAAAAUGAAUGGAUGUCAUUGUUAUGAGACCUCUCCUCUCUCUAAAUAAAUGCUCUCAACAGCAGUGAUAAUGUCUUUCA